UACGUAGGGGGCAAGCGUUGUCCGGAAUUAUUGGGCGUAAAGAGCUCGUAGGCGGUCUGUCGCGUCUGGUGUGAAAACUCAAGGCUUAACCUUGGGCCUGCAUCGGGUACGGGCAGACUAGAGUGCGGUAGGGGAGACUGGAAUUCCUGGUGUAGCGGUGAAAUGCGCAGAUAUCAGGAGGAACACCGGUGGCGAAGGCAGAUCUCUGGGCCGUAACUGACGCUGAGGAGCGAAAGCGUGGGGAGCGAACAGG
rnacentral:rRNA from 1 species